rnacentral:rRNA from 1 species
CCGAUGGCGACCGGCGCACGGGUGAGUAACACGUAUCCAACCUGCCGUCUACUCUUGGACAGCCUUCUGAAAGGAAGAUUAAUACAAGAUGGCAUCAUGAGUCCGCAUGUUCACAUGAUUAAAGGUAUUCCGGUAGACGAUGGGGAUGCGUUCCAUUAGAUAGUAGGCGGGGUAACGGCCCACCUAGUCUUCGAUGGAUAGGGGUUCUGAGAGGAAGGUCCCCCACAUUGGAACUGAGACACGGUCCAAACUCCUACGGGAGGCAGCAGUGAGGAAUAUUGGUCAAUGGGCGAGAGCCUGAACCAGCCAAGUAGCGUGAAGGAUGACUGCCCUAUGGGUUGUAAACUUCUUUUAUAAAGGAAUAAAGUCGGGUAUGCAUACCCGUUUGCAUGUACUUUAUGAAUAAGGAUCGGCUAACUCCGUGCCAGCAGCCGCGGUAAUACGGAGGAUCCGAGCGUUAUCCGGAUUUAUUGGGUUUAAAGGGAGCGUAGAUGGAUGUUUAAGUCAGUUGUGAAAGUUUGCGGCUCAACCGUAAAAUUGCAGUUGAUACUGGAUAUCUUGAGUGCAGUUGAGGCAGGCGGAAUUCGUGGUGUAGCGGUGAAAUGCUUAGAUAUCACGAAGAACUCCGAUUGCGAAGG